rnacentral:rRNA from 1 species
GAAUAUUGGACAAUGGGGGCAACCCUGAUCCAGCCAUGCCGCGUGUGUGAAGAAGGCCUUUUGGUUGUAAAGAACUUUAAGCAGUGAAGAAGACUCCAUGGUUAAUACCCAUGGACGAUGACAUUAGCUGCAGAAUAAGCCCCGGCUCACUAUGUGCAAGACGCCGCGGUAAUACAUAGGGUGCAAGCGUUAAUCGGAAGUACUGGGCGUAAAGCGAGCGUAGGUGGCUUGAUAAGUCAGAUGUGAAAUCCCCGGGCUUAACCUGGGAACUGCAUCUGAUACUGUUAGGCUAGAAUAGGUGAGAGGAAGGUAGAAUUCCAGGUGUAGCGGUGAAAUGCGUAGAGAUCUGGAGGAAUACCGAUGGCGAAGGCAGCCUUCUGGCAUCAUAUUGACACUGAGGUUCGAAAGCGUGGGUAGCAAAC